rnacentral:rRNA from 1 species
GGAAACGCUAAUACCGCAUAACGUCGCAAGACCAAAGAGGGGGACCUUCGGGCCUCUUGCCAUCAGAUGUGCCCCAGAUGGGAUUAGCUAGUAGGUGGGGUAACGGCUCACCUAGGCGACGAUCCCUAGCUGGUCUGAGAGGAUGAGCCACACUGGAACUGAGACACGGUCCAGACUCCUACGGGUGGGGAAUAUUGCAGGGCGCAAGCCUGAUGCAGCCAUGCCGCGUGUAUGAAGAAGGCCUUCGGGUUGUAACUUUCGGGGAGGAAGGCGCUGAGGUUAAUAACCUCAGCGAUUGACGUUACCCGCAGAAAAAGCACCGGCUAGUGCCAGCAGCCGCCGGAGGGUGCAAGCGUUAAUCGGAAUUACUGGGCGUAAAGCGCACGCAGGCGGUCUGUCAAGUCGGAUGUGAAAGGGGCUCAAGGAACUGCAUUCGAAACUGGCAGGCUAGAGUCUUGUAGAGAUUCCAGGGGUGAAAUGCGUAGAGGGAGGAAUACCGGUGGCGAAGGCGGCCCCCUAAGACUGACGCUCACGUGCGAAAGCGUGGGGAGCACAGGAUUAGAUACCUGGUAGUCCACGCCGUAAACGAUGUCGACUUGGAGCGUUUGCCCUUGAGGCGUGGCUUCCGGAGCUAAACGCGUUUAAGUCGACCCGCCCUGGGGAGUACGGCUCGCAAGGUUUAAAAACUCAAAUGGAAUUGACGGGGGGCCCCGCACCAAGCGGGUGGAGCUAUGUGGUUUAAUUCGGAUGCAACGCGCAAGAACCCUUACCAUACUCCUUGACCAUGCCAGAGAACUUUCACAGAGAUGGAUUGGUGCCUUCGGGAACUCGUGAGACAGGUGCUGCAUGGCUGGUCGUCAGCUCGUGUUGUGAAAUGUUGGGUUAAGUCCCGCAACGAGCGCAACCCUUAUCCUUUGUUGCCAGCGGUUAGUGCCGGGAACUCAAAGGAGACUGCCAGUGAUAAACUGGAGGAAGGUGGGGAUGA